rnacentral:rRNA from 1 species
GUGCUCCUCCAUCCCGGGGUAUUUUCAUAACAUAUAUGGGUAACUAUAUAUAGAAAAUAUACCAUGAGCAUACUGGANAUGACCCGAAAGAUGGUGAACUAUGCCUGAUCAGGUUGAAGUCAGGGGAAACCCUGAUGGAGGACCGAAGCAAUUCUGACGUGCAAAUCGAUUGUCAGA